UUUUUAUUUAAAAAUUAAUAUCAACAAGUGGAUGAGAAUCAUCAUUCAGUGGGAAAAUCGACCACCAUAAAUGAAUUAGAAGACCUCAGCCUGUACAUCCAAUACUAAUCAAUCAUCUUGCUAAAUGCAUCAGCCUUAUGUCAUGUCUCAAUCAGAACAAAAUACUAAACAAGUAAAUAUACAAAAAUUCCUUCUCAUGGCAGCAUAAUCGAUCUCAGAGACAGAACUAUUCAUAGAGAAUAUCUUAACUGAAUACAAAAUGAUAGAAGAGCUCAAUUUCAUCCUCCAGCAAAACAAUCGAUGUCACAUGCAAAGUAAUUUCGAUGAGCCAUAACAGAGAGUCAUCAUCUCUAAGGAAAUACAAAAGCAAAAACUAGAAAAUCUCCUGACAAAAAUGGCAUAAAGAUCCAAAUACACAAACAAACAUUUUUGGCGACAAAGGAACCAUAACACUAAAACUCUUCAACCGUAUGCUAAAACUAAGAAGCUCAAACCAUUGAUUCCAGUUAGCACAGGCAGGGCAUUGCUAGAAAAACAUAUAUCAUCAUCGAUUGGAAAUUACCUAACAGUAACAAUGUCAUCAAUCUUCAGAAUCAUCCGCACACACUCAGUUGCCAGUGUUAUUGCACUUGUGCUCACAAGCAAUGGUUGCACCACAUUCUCCUCCAAGAUAUUUGUUAUCUGUCCCUUUCUGACAUUGAUUCCGGCAUUGAUCUCCCCUUGAGCAUGCCUAUUCCUCAGCUCAGUUACAAUAGCAAUGGGAUUCAGGCCAGCAUUCUCUGCCAAAGUAUAUGGUAUCACCUCAAGUGCCUCAGCAAAAGACCUCACACAGUAUCCUUCCAUCCCAUGUAGCACCUUUGCCCAAGCCCCAAGCUGCCUCGACAAUUCUAUCUCUGGAGCCCCACCUCCAGCAAUUAAAAAUCGCUUAUUCACCAGACAUCUAACCACACAUAAUGCAUCAUGCAAGCUUCGCUCUGCCUCAUCAAUAACCAACUGGUUUGAUCCACGCACAAGCACCGUUGUAGUCCUUCCCAUAUUCUUAAUUCCAGUAAUCUUGACAAUCUUGCUAUCACCAAGUGAAACCUCCUCAACAAGAUCUGCGUGCCCCAGUUUAUCCUCCCUGAAAUGUUCAAUAUUUGCAAUAGGCAAGCAAUUCAAAGUCUUAGUGAUGAACUCAAUCUCAUCUCUCUCCACAUCCUUAACCACCAAAAUCUUGGCUUUAGCCAAAUAAUGCAGGGACAAAUCUGUGACUGCAUCUCUCAAGAUGCUCUUUUGAAUCAACAAUACAUUGCACCCAGUUGCCUUAAUCUUCUUAAUCAUACCCAAAAUAUAAUUUCUCUCUUCCUUCAAAAUCCUAUCCAUUUGUGUAUAGUCAGAGACCACAAUGCUCUGCUCUAUAUCAGUCUUUGGAGGAGAAAUUUGGAAUUGAAUCACUGCAAUCUUCGCGUUCUCAACUCGUGUUGGUCCACCAGCUGCAUGGCUCACUUUCUUAUCAAAAACUAAGCCUUUAACCAUCUCCGUAUCAUCCACAGUCCCGCCUAGCUUCUUCACUAUCCUAACAUCCCUCAAGUCCACCAAAUCGGGCUUGGCAGGGUCCACUACAGAGAGAACUGCAUCUACCGCUAAUGGAGCUAGAAGCGUAGAAUACUGACUCACGACUUUACUAUUCAAAGAAGUGCUUGCAGAUUUAAUUAGGGAUUCCCCGUCCGAUAACUCCACAGGGACAGCCAUGGCAGUCAAUACAUCGAUAGCUUUAAUAGAUGCUUUAUGAAGAGAAUCGGAGAUUACCGUGGGGUGGAUUCCACUGGAAAGAAGCGAGAGACACUGCUUCAAAAGCGCGCCAGCAAUGACGACGACGGUGGUGGUGCCAUCACCAGCAGCGGCGUCCUGAGCCUUUGAGAGCUCGACAAGCAUUUUGGCGGCGGGCUGAAGGACCUCCAUUUUGUUGAGAAUUGUAGCGCCAUCGUUGGUGAUGAUUACUUCACCAUUGGCGGCGGAAAUCAUUUUGUCCAUACCUUUGGGUCCCAGACUGGUCCGGACUGCGUCCGCCACGGCUCGAGCGGCGACGAUGUUGGCAUGGCGGAUGUCCUCUUUGCGCUUAUUGUCGACAUAAGAAUCGGUUUUGGAGGAUCUGGGCCGGGAGAUUGCCGGUGCCGCCAUUAGGGUUUUGAAGAUCGAAAGGUGAAACCCUAAGCCUAACGUAAGAUAUGGGUAGGACCGUAGGAGUUGCG
rnacentral:misc_RNA from 1 species